GGGAGGGCUGCGGCGGCUGGGGAGGGUGGGGGGGGGUUGAGCGGCGGGGCACGGGCGCUGUGGGACCGCGGGAAGCGGCCCCGGCGAGGGGCGAUGCGCGAUGUGCGGGGGGAGAGCGAGGGGCGGCGGGGAGGCGCAGGGAAGAUGGAGAGGGACCAUUUGCAACAGCGUGCGGCGACAGGACAAGGGGAACGGCUCCGAAUUGAAAGAGAGGAGGGUUAGAUUGGAUAUUUGGAAGAAAUUCUUCCCUGUGAGGGUGGAGAGGCCCUGGCACAGGUUGCUCGGAGAAGCUGUGGCUGCUCCAUCCCUGGAGGUGUCCAAGGCCGGGUUGGACGGGGCUUGGAGCAACCUGGGAUAGUGAAAGGUGUCCCUGCCCACGGCAGGGGGGUUGGAAGUAAAUGGUCUUUAAGAUCCCUUCCAACCCAAACCAUUCCGUGAUUGUGUGUCAGCAACGAGGCUCCACGGGCGCAUCCCGGUGGCCGAGGGACAGCGCUGGCGGCUGCGGCCGCCGGGAAUGGAACAAAGAGCUGGGAGAGGAUGCGGUGGGAUCAUUCCUGCGAUGGUCUCUUGCGCUGCUUCAGGUGCUUCGCGGGGGGAAUAUCGGUGCUUCAUGGAUGUGCCGUCAAGAGCUUCAGUUCUCCUGUUCUCUUCAACUAUGAAAACUUUGCUUACGGCUCCCUGACCUGGGUGUUGGGCAGCCCUACCUGAGAGCCAGGUGAGGGUCGGCCUCUUCUCCCAGGCAACCAGAAGCAGGACAAGAGGACAUAGUCUCAGGCUGCACCAGCGGGGGUUCAGGUUGGACGUUAGGAGGAAUAUCUCACGUGAAAGGGUGAUUAGGCAUUGGAAUCGGCUGGCCAGGGAGGUGGUGGAGUCACCGUUCCCGGAGGUGUUUCAGGAAAGACUGAAUGUGGCACUGAGUGCCAUGGUCUGGUUGACACAGUGGUGAUGGGUUGUAGGUUGGACUUGAUCAUCUCGGGGCCUUUUCCAACCUAAUUGAUUCUGUGGCUCCCUGCACCAAAUGUCCAUGUUUGGCCCCCUCUGCACUUUCUUUUUCCCCUUGUAUUUCACUUGUAUUGCUCAUCUUACCAACCUCAAGUUUUUUUGCUGUGCUGGCAGCACCUUCUGCUGUUUCUUUUGGAUGGAACAAGCUGCCACCAUCCUGAGCCUGAAGUCCCGUAAAUCCCAGUGGUGGAGGAUCCCUGUGGAGUGGGAGUUGUGAAGGGAUUUUGCUGUUUUGAGAUUGUGCAAAUCCCACUGACGUGCUGUCGUUCCAGGCAUCCUUUGCACUUCUUGUGGCAUCCAUCUGCUUCCCAGGCUUCUACGGAAACUCACAGGCAACCAGGAGGGGAGGGGGAUGAGUCCUCCCACGUUUUUACCUUUUCUUGACGGUUUUAGGCUUGGAGGGAACUUGCCAAAAUUAUUUCCCCUCAGCCCGUUGGAAAUGAUGUUAGUAGUGCAGUGUACGUAUUAGGCCACAAGCAGAGGAAUAGUUUUCAGUCCUUUUCUUCUCUCUUCCUGUAUAAAAAUAUAGUCAGAAUCUAUAUUUAUGUUUACAAUGAAUAAGUGAGGAAGGGAGCUGAAUUCCUUUUAUCAAGGAACGACAGCAGAGUCCAAGGGAGAGAUUGAAGCAAGGAAAAACAUUUCUUAGGCAAGAACUCAUUUGAAUAUGAAUUUAAAUGUGACCAGAUGCAUCAUGGCACAUCCUUGGUACAGCCAUAUAGCUGUGGGAAGUCACAGUCAGUAGAACACAGAAACACUUUGACUUAUUUUAACCUCACAUCAUCAUGUGUAAACAGAGAUCAUGCCAGGCUGACCUCCCUUUUAUGGUGAGAUGAAAAUUAUUGGUGCAAGGCAAACUUGCACCAAUAAUUAGUUUGUGUCUUUAAUAGGCUUCCAGGUUGCAUCAAAUUCCUUUUCUAGGUACUGUUAUUGUCUUUCCCACCCUGUUAAAGGGAGCCCUGUGAUGUUAGGAAACUGUUACCUACAGACCUGUUUCUUACCCACAUUUCUGUACUCCAUAUGUUUUGGAUUGCUGGUUCUUCUAGGUAGGGGCAGUGCCUUCCUUUGUUGGAACUGACUGGUCUGUUGUGAAUAUUAAUGGAAACAAGGAAUGUUCCCAAAUAGAACAUGGUAAAUUACCUGCUGCUUUAUCACAGUGCAUUAUAUUGCUAAUUGAAUGUCAGCUAAAUGUUUCUCCAGGCAUUUGACUAAAAUGAGCAUGAGCUAUAGUGCAUGUGUAAGACCACAAAUAGUAAAUAAGCCUGAUUAUGAAAAAUCGUAUUUCUCCCCUUCACCAGCAGCAAAGCUGCAAAUACAUCUCUUGCAAAUUUGAACCUAAGGACUCAUUCAGCUCUUUGUAUGUCUCUGCUUAAAGUGUGUCCAUUUAAGAAACAAAUGAGAUUAUUUACCUAGUCCAGAUUACUUUCAUCUAAGACAGAAGACAUGGAUUGCUGGACUGUUGCUAAGAGAUCUGCCAGAAUGCCAUAAAGAAAUCUGAGAAUCUGGAGGAGCUGUAUGAACUUAUUUUUUUUUUUUGUGAUCCUGAAGGAGGCUCUGCCCACUGGUUAGGCAUUUAUUUCUUUCCUUUAAGGUUAUUAACCUGUUUUUGAAAUUACCCUUAUUUUUUAUCACUUUGUCAAAGAAAAGGAAGAAAACUGAAUUUGUUACCACUGUUUACUAAAAACUGACAUAAUGUAAAUGAAUGUAGCUCAGACCAGCCAAGGGAGGUCAAGUGACAGCUCCUAACAAAUCAUUCCGGCUGCCAUGAGAUUUUCCACUGCCGACAUCCAGCCACAUGUAGAGAAGAGACAUCACCAAAGCAUCAGAAAUACUGGGCACUUGAAUUAGCAAGACAGACAAAAAGACUAUUGUGCUUAAGAGAAACAUUGCACGGCUGCUUUUUGUGUUAGUUUUUUUGUCAACUGUGGAACUCUCUGUCAUGAUAUAGAAUCCAACUAUUAAGCAGAUGCAUGGAAAACAGGAAUGAUUAGAGUAAGACCUACAGAAAAACACAAGGAGUAUCCUUCACAUUUAUCAGUGAGCCUGGUCCCUGCUGGCCAUUUUACCUUUCCUCUCCUUAGGGUUUCCAUAUUGAAUUCUGCAAUACAUGGUUACUCGAAGGAGUAGCGCGUCAGAUAAAAGUUGCAUUCGUUGUAGCUGCUGCUGAGAGCUGCUGACUGAAGCAGAAGAGUGAUGUGCAGAGUUCUGGGGAGAGCACACACUGAGAGACGCAUAAAAAUUCAUGGACAAAAUUUCCUGGAAGAGCUCAGCCCUCCGUGUGCCAGAUGGACCCUCUGGUUGAGCCCCGUCACCUCCCAUGGAAGCUCAAGACGAUGCAUCUUUCCAUUAACAUCUCUAAAAAUGCACAAAAGACUUUAAACUAAAACAUGGCCUGAAGAAAGUUAAUGAAGUUCUUGAUAAUCUGCGUCACAAAUGAAAAGACUGAGGACGAUUCUGGUCUUUUCCUUCAGGCCUUGAUGAGUCAUGAAAAUUAUAGAAAGCUGAUAUUUCUAAAGGAGCAGCAUCUGUAAGUAAAAAAGAGUAGAAAAAUCAAGAACAGACAUCUGAUGACAGGAGCUACUACUGGUGGUGAGCAGUACGCUGAAAUUUUCUUGCAUCUUAGUGGACCUUUUGACCUAAUUUACAGAGCUUUUCUUGUUAAUUAACUUUUUUAGGAAAGUCAGACCUUUUUUUCUGCUAAAGGUCAUGUACUUAAACUAAGAAGUCUUUUAUCGUCUACAGUACAAUACAGCAACAUAAAAUUUAGGAGUUUUUUAUUCAGAAUAAAUUAAUAAAUCACAAGCAAUAAGCAUGGAGUAUUUCACACCCCUUUGCCCUGACCUCAUUUCUCAUUGUAAAUUAAAGCAUGAUCUAAAGAAUUCCUUUCUGUGUUUGUCUGUUUGUCCUGACCAGUGUGGAUAAUCACAGGGUUAUGCAGGCAAACAGUUACCAAAAAAAACACACCUCGAGUGGGGAUGACACUGCAAGAAUAUUUACAUUUUUAAAUCACUCUUCGUAUUUGAGUGAUGGUUGAAUGAACUGUCCUUUAAAAAAAAGAAAGAAAAGAGAAAAUGCUUUUUCAUUAAAUUAAUGAACCUGCUCAGAAAUAUUGAAGGAACCUCCAGCAAACUAGAGUGCUCCUAGGACUUGCAAUUAUGUGUUGUGGGGGGAAAACAACUAGCAAUAUCCUAAUUUGGGAAUUUCUCUGCCAGGGUAUGAGGAUCCAUUCCACUUCAUGAUUUCUUCAUGCAAACUAUAUAAAAUAUUUUACAAAACACGAGUAAUUUCCAUAACAGAAUUUUGACAAUUUAAAUCAAAACAGGUUGCUAUGGCAGUUCCUACAAAUCUUCCUCUUUUGGGUUUGUUUUGUAUUACAAAUGUCAAAAUGAAACCAUUUCUGUCAAAAUAAUUUUUUUCCUUUUCUCAAUGCCCUAAUUUUCAUUACUUGACAAAGUCAAGAUGAAGGUGAAUUUCAAAUGCAUAAACCCAUGAAGACAUAGCUUUAGUUUUAUAAGUAAGUAAUAUCAUUAGAUACUGUAUUGUUACUUGAAUUGACUUUCUUUACUGCUCUUUGUAAUAAGUGACUGAAAAAUAAAGGACAUUUGCAUUGGUUAAA